rnacentral:rRNA from 1 species
AUGGAGGAAGCAAUGGUGUCUUUGACCAACGCAACAAGGAGAUUGUUGGAUAAACAACAGACAGGAACCACUGUCAUGAACCUCGAAAUGAAGCUAUACUUGAUCAACAACUUCUCAAAUGAUAUCGGCCCGCUGCUGUGCGAUGCUAUCGACGCCGGUUUUUUGAAAGAUUUGGAUCUUGCCAUUCUCGACGAGACUGAUGCCCCAGACUGUUGUGAUUUGGCUAUGCUAAGGCUUGCCAAACGCAUGGAUGGAUUUUUCACCGCAUACCCUAUCGUGCUCCAUCGCCUCACAAGACUCUCUCUAUGUAAUGUGUGUUUUGCCCGGUUGUACAUGCACCAUAUCCUGUUUGACUGCUGCAAGCAACUCAAGCAUCUAACUUUGUCUACUCAAGCAUCUAACUUUGUCUCACUCUGA